CUUGCCAACAGAAUAGCAUGUGCCACCCACACACAUUUGACUUGUGGCAUGUCUGGGGGUAAGGGGGGUUGAGGUAUUUUGAUUAAGAGUCCCCCAUUAAAUCAAGUGUAAACAUUUGACCAAAUACUUAAAGGGUUCCUGCCGACAGACCGGGGGGGAGAUCUGCUUGACCGACCUUUUAUUUGGAGGGAAAAAGCUGCUCUGUGUUUGAAGUUGGUGGUCAAGGAAAACAGCUGGGUACUAUCCAUCUUAAUGCUGCUCUUUAUCGGCUGGUUGACUGGCUGACUGGUUGGCUGACUGGGUGACUGCCUGGGUGACUCUCUGGCUUCCUGGCUGGUUGACUGGCUGACUGGGUGAAUCUCUGGCUUCCUGGCUGGUUGACUGGCUGACUGGCUGACUGGUUGGCUGACGGGCUGACUGGCUGACUGGGUGACUCUCUGGCUUCCUGGCUGGUUGACUGGCUGACUGGCUGACUGGGUGACUGGCAGACUGGCAGACUGACUGGCUGGAUGUAUGAUUGGUUGACCCUCUGGGUGACUGGCUGACUGGCUAGGUGACUGGCUGACUGGGUGACUGGCUGGCUGGCUGGCUGGGUGACUGAAUGACUGACUGGGUGACUGGCUGGCUGGCUGGGUGACUGGCUGACUGGAUGGGUGACUGGCUGGGUGACUGGCUGGCUGAGUGACUGGAUGACUGGCUGGCUGAGUGACUGGCUGUAUGGCUGGCUGACUGGCUGGCUGAGUGACUGGCUGACUGGAUGACUGGCUGAGUGACUGAUUGACUGCAGUGGGAAGACAGUGCAGGAAACUACGUUUGUAACACAGGAUGGGAUGAAAUGCUAGUGCCUGGAAAUACAAUUUAAAGUUGGCAGACUGGCUGACUGGCUGGCUGACUGGCAAACUGACUGGCUGGCUGACUGGCUGGCAGAUUGGCUGGGUGACUGGCUGGCAGACUGGCUUGCUGUGUGUCUGGCAAACUGACUGGCUGGCUGAUUGGCUGGGUGACUGGUUAGCUGAGUGACUGGCUGGCUGGCUGGCAGACUGGCUGGCUGGCUGGGUGACUGGCAGAUUGCUUGGCUGGCUGGCUGGCUGGCUGGCUGGCAGACUGGCUGGCUGGCUGGCAGACUGGCUGGCUGACUGGGUGACUGACUGGCUGGCUGACUGGCUGGAUUGCUGGCAGAUUGGCAGGCUGAGUGACUGGCUGAAUGGGUGACUGACUGGCUGGCUGACUGGGUUAGUGGCAGAUUGGCAGGCUGAGUGACUGGCUGACUGACUGGGUGACUGACUGGCUGGCUGACUGGGUUAGUGGCAGAUUGGCAGGCUGAGUGACUGAUUGGCUGACUGACUGGGUGACUGACUGGCAGAUUGGCAGGCUGACUGACUGGCUGACUGGCUGGGUUAGUGAGCAGUGGGCCACCCAGGAAGACGCUGUAGGAAACUGUGUCUGUAACCCAGCAGUGGAUUAUAGGCUGUAGAGGAGGAGAGGAGAGGAAGGGUGGGGGGGUUGUUCAGCUGUGAGUAAUUAAAACACAGGCUACCUCGCUCUCUCUUCUUCUCUCUCUCUCUUUCUCUCCCACUCUCUC
ensembl:lncRNA